GACAGAGGUGCCGAGCGUUAGGCGGAAUCACUGGGCUUAAAGCGCGUGUAGGCGGCUCGGUAAGUCUGCUGUGAAAGUCCAGGGCUCAACCCUGGAAAGCCGGUGGAAACUGUCGAGCUAGAGUCCGGAAGAGGCGAGUGGAAUUCCUGGUGUAGCGGUGAAAUGCGCAGAUAUCAGGAGGAACACCAAUGGCGAAGGCAGCUCGCUGGGACGGUACUGACGCUGAGACGCGAAAGCGUGGGGAGCAAACAGG
rnacentral:rRNA from 1 species